GCUAGGCACAGUGGUGUGUACCUAUAAUCUCAGCUACUUGGGAGGCUGAGGUGGAAGGAUCACUUGAGCCCAGGAGUUCUGGGCUGUAGUGCACUAUGCAAAUCAGUUGGCUGCACUAGCUUUGGCAUCAAUAUGGUGACCUCCUGGGAGUGGGGGACCACCAGGUUGCCUAAGGAGGGGUAAACUGGCCAAGAUCGGAAACAGAGCAGGUCAAAACUCCCCUGCUAACCAGUAGUGGGAUCGUGCCUGUAAAAAGGCACGGCACUCUGGGCAACAUGGCAAGACCCUAUCACAA
ensembl:misc_RNA Metazoa_SRP Metazoan signal recognition particle RNA